GCGGUAGAGCAGCGGUUUAGCACGCGCCUCCGGAAAGGGUGAAAUCUGAGUUUGAAUCCCAGCUGAUGCA